rnacentral:rRNA from 1 species
CAGUAGCCGCGGUAAUACGAAGGGGGCUAGCGUUGUUCGGAAUUACUGGGCGUAAAGGGCGCGUAGGCGGCCAUUCAAGUUAGAUGUGAAAGCCCUGAGCUCAACCUAGGAAUUGCAUUUGAUACUGUUUGGCUUGAGUUCGGGAGAGGUGAGUGGAAUUCCCAGUGUAGAGGUGAAAUUCGUAGAUAUUGGGAAGAACACCAGUGGCGAAGGCGGCUCACUGGACCGACACUGACGCUGAGGCGCGAAAGCGUGGGGAGCAAACAGGAUUAGAUACCCCUGUAGUCCCUGUCUCUUAUAC